CUGGUACAUAUGGUGAUUUACAAGAAACUGGAAAAGUAAUCAUUUGUGUUCUUACAUUCAGACAGUUCAAGAAUAAUACUAGCCUUUAUCUCAUAAAAAUAAGUAUGGUGCUCUAGUGAUGGUGAAGUGUACAAGCAACACUUCUGCAGAUGUCUUGUUUUGGAAUGAUAGUUGCAGAUAUGGUGGCCCGCAGUUAACACACUUAUUUUACCCUUUCUUGCAGGUGGAUGAAGCCAUGAUGGAGAUCGCUGGUCCACAGGCCUACCUCAUGCAUUGUUUACCUGCAGAGAGAGGGGUGGAGGUGACAGACGGUGCCAUCGAGGCUCCCAACUCAAUCGUAUUCCCCCAGGCUGAAAACCGGAUGCACGCUCAGAAUGCCAUCAUGCUUCAUGUCAUGGGCGCUUAAUACCCCUUUUGCACACCACUAUUACACCUUUCUUAAAUUCUAGGG
rnacentral:lncRNA from 1 species